GACUGUUUUACCAAAAACAUAGCCACUAGAAAAUUUUAAUGGUGGUGAAACCUGCUCCAUGAUUAAAAAUAAAUAGAAUAAUAAUAUUUAAUUAAAUAGCUGCGGUAACCGUGACCGUACUAAGGUAGCAUAAUAAAUCGUCUAUUAAUUGUAGAAUAGAAUGAAGGUUAAACGAAAACUCAACUGUCUCAAAAAUGAAUUUGUGAAAAUUGAAAGUGUGUGAAUAUCCACACUUAAACAGCAAGACGAUAAGACCCUGCGAACUUUACAAAACAUUUAUACAACCAUAAACAUAAUUUUUUAAAUACAAAGUUUCGUUGGGGCAACGACCUUACAAAAGUAACUAAGGCUAAAAACCAAUCUACAUAAAUAUAGAUAAAUAAAUCAAUAUAAAUUACAAAGAUAAAACCCGUUAUAAAAACCUAUAAUAAUAACGCAAAAAAAUAAAAGUUCCGCAGGGAUAACAGCGUAAUAUUAUUUCAAGAAAAAUAUCUUAAAUAAAGAUUGCGACCU
rnacentral:rRNA from 1 species